rnacentral:rRNA from 1 species
GAGAGUUAAAUAGUACGUGAAAUUGUUGAAAGGGAAACGAUUGAAGUCAGUCAUGCUAGUGAAAAAUCAGUUUGGCGGGUUUUGAGUUCGGGAGUAGAGGCAGGGUCAAACCGUUUCUCUUUUGAACUUGGGAUUUGUUAGAUGUACUUUUUCUUUGGCAGGUCAGCGUCGAUUUCGGAGGUUGUAAAAUACUUGGGGGAAAGUAGCUCUGCUUCGGGAGAGUAUUAUAGACCCUGGGAGAUGCAGCCUGCGGGAUCGAGGAUUGCAGCAAAUGCCUUUGGCUUGUCGCCUGAUCUCUGGAUGUUACCUCGCUUGUGACAACAUUCUUGCCACCUGUGGGUACUAAUGCCAUUAGGUUAGAGCGAUCAAAAAUUUUGCUAAGGAUGCUGACGUAAUGGCUUUAAACGA